rnacentral:rRNA from 1 species
ACGUAGGGGGCUAGCGUUAUCCGGAUUUACUGGGCGUAAAGGGUGCGUAGGCGGUCUUUCAAGUCAGGAGUGAAAGGCUACGGCUCAACCGUAGUAAGCUCUUGAAACUGGGAGACUUGAGUGCAGGCGAGGAGAGUGGAAUUCCUAGUGUAGCGGUGAAAUGCGUAGAUAUUAGGAGGAACACCAGUUGCGAAGGCGGC